GCCGAAGUGGCGGAAUGGCAGACGCAGCGGAUUCAAAAUCCGCCGAGGCAACCCCUCGUGGAGGUUCGACCCCUCUCUUCGGCACAA
rnacentral:tRNA from 1 species